AUUGUAUGUGCUAUCACACAUUCUGAAAAUGUUUGACCAAUUUCCAGAAGGGCUCAGUUAAAGGAAGAUUUUGAUCUGGCGAGUCUUUCCUUUCUCAAUGAAGAUGGCAUUGUAGCUAAGAACAAGUUUUUAUUGAACAGUACAGUGAGAAUUCUCAUGUGUGUGUGCUGGAGCUUAAGGAAUGCCAUUAAACCAGAGACUUCUCAAAUUUUGCUGAUUUUUCUAUAUUGACAGUAAGGCCUUAUUGCUGAGACACCAGAUACUUGAGUUAUAGCAUAUGGAGACAUCACGAAUAUGGAAACUUCAUUUCUCAAGGUUCAGGAUGUGGGAAAGUGAUAUGCAAGCUUCUGAAG